AACGAACGCUGACGGCGCGCCUAACACAUGCAAGUCGAACGAGAAGGCGUAGCAAUACGCUUGUAGAGUGGCGAACGGGUGAGUAAUACGUGGGUGACCUACCCUCGAGUGGGGAAUAACCCGCCGAAAGGCGGGCUAAUGCCGCGUACGCUUCCGUCCUCACGGGGACGGAAGGAAAGCUGUACCGUGGGUACGGCGCUCAAGGAUGGGCUCACGUCCUAUCAGCUUGUUGGUAGGGUAACGGCCACCAAGGCUACGACGGGUAGCUGGUCUGAGAGGACGAUCAGCCACACUGGCACUGCGACUCGGGCCAGACUCCUACGGGAGGCAGCAGUGAGGAAUAUUGCGCAAUGGGCGAAAGCCUGACGCAGCGACGCCGCGUGGGGAUGAAGGUCUUCGGAUU
rnacentral:rRNA from 1 species